rnacentral:rRNA from 1 species
UGACGGAGCACGCCGCGUGAGGGAUGAAGGCCUCUGGGCUGUAAACCUCUUUUAUCAAGGAAGAAAAUCUGACGGUACUUGAUGAAUAAACCACGGCUAAUUCCGUGCCAGCAGCCGCGGUAAUACGGGAGUGGCAAGCGUUAUCCGGAAUUAUUGGGCGUAAAGCGUCCGCAGGCGGCCCUUCAAGUCUGCUGUUAAAAAGUGGAGCUUAACUCCAUCAUGGCAGUGGAAACUGUUGGGCUUGAUUGUGGUAGGGGCAUAGGGAAUUCCCGGUGUAGCGGUGAAAUGCGUAGAUAUCGGGAAGAACACCAGUGGCAAAGGCGCUCUGCUGGGCCAUCACUGACGCUCAUGGACGAAAGCCAGGGGAGCGAAAGGGAUUAGAUACCCCUGUAGUCCUGGCCGUAAACGAUGAACACUACGUGUCGGGGGAAUCGACCCCCUCGGUGUCGUAGCCAACGCGUUAAGUGUUCCGCCUGGGGAGUACGCACGCAAGUGUGAAACUCAAAAGAAAUUGACGG